AUUGAACGCUGGCGGCAGGCUUAACACAUGCAAGUCGAGCGGAGCGAGGGUGCUUGCACCUUAGCUUAGCGGCGGACGGGUGAGUAAUGCUUAGGAAUCUGCCUAUUAGUGGGGGACAACAUUCCGAAAGGAAUGCUAAUACCGCAUACGCCCUACGGGGGAAAGCAGGUGAUCUUCGGACCUUGCGCUAAGAGAUGAGCCUAAGUCGGAUUAGCGAGUUGGUGGGGUAAAGGCCUACCAAGGCGACGAUCUGUAGCGGGUCUGAGAGGAUGAUCCGCCACACUGGGACUGAGACACGGCCCAGACGCCUACGGGAGGCAGCAGUGGGGAAUAUUGGACAAUGGGGGGAACCCUGAUCCAGCCAUGCCGCGUGUGUGAAGAAGGCCUUUUGGUUGUAAAGCACUUUAAGCGAGGAGGAGGCUACUAGUAUUAAUACUACUGGAUAGUGGACGUUACUCGCAGAAUAAGCACCGGCUAACUCUGUGCCAGCCGCCGCCGUAAUAC
rnacentral:rRNA from 1 species